rnacentral:rRNA from 1 species
GACGAACGCUGGCGGCGUGCCUAAUACAUGCAAGUAGAACGCUGAAGAGAGGAGCUUGCUCUUCUUGGAUGAGUUGCGAACGGGUGAGUAACGCGUAGGUAACCUGCCUUGUAGCGGGGGAUAACUAUUGGAAACGAUAGCUAAUACCGCAUAACAAUAGGUGACACAUGUCAUUUAUUUGAAAGGGGCAAUUGCUCCACUACAAGAUGGACCUGCGUUGUAUUAGCUAGUAGGUGAGGUAACGGCUCACCUAGGCGACGAUACAUAGCCGACCUGAGAGGGUGAUCGGCCACACUGGGACUGAGACACGGCCCAGACUCCUACGGGAGGCAGCAGUAGGGAAUCUUCGGCAAUGGGGGCAACCCUGACCGAGCAACGCCGCGUGAGUGAAGAAGGUUUUCGGAUCGUAAAGCUCUGUUGUAAGUCAAGAACGAGUGUGAGAGUGGAGAGUUCACACUGUGACGGUAGCUUACCAGAAAGGGACGGCUAACUACGUG